GCCGGUGUAUCUCAGUCGGUAGAGGCGUGCAGCUGCAUAAUCAAGGAAUGCGGAGACCUGGGUUCGAGUCCCAGCACCGGCA
rnacentral:tRNA from 1 species